rnacentral:rRNA from 1 species
GACGAACGCUGGCGGCGUGCCUAGUACAUGCAAGUCGAGCGAAGUUUUUCUGGUGCUUGCACUAGAAAAACUUAGCGGCGAACGGGUGAGUAACACGUAAAGAACCUGCCUCAUAGACUGGGACAACUAUUGGAAACGAUAGCUAAUACCGGAUAACAGUAUUUCUCGCAUGAGAGAUAUUUAAAAGUUGGUUAUGCUAACACUAUGAGAUGGCUUUGCGGUGCAUUAGCUAGUUGGUGGGGUAAAGGCCCACCAAGGCGACGAUGCAUAGCCGACCUGAGAGGGUGAUCGGCCACACUGGGACUGAGACACGGCCCAGACUCCUACGGGAGGCAGCAGUAGGGAAUCUUCCGCAAUGGGCGAAAGCCUGACGGAGCAACGCCGCGUGAGUGAAGAAGGAUUUCGGUUCGUAAAGCUCUGUUGUUAGGGAAGAAUGGAUAUGUAGUAACUAUACAUGUAAGAGACGGUACCUAACCAGAAAGCCACGGCUAACUACGUG